CCUUCGAUAGCUCAGUUGGUAGAGCGGAGGACUGUAGGUUAAUACCAGUUAUCCUUAGGUCGCUGGUUCAAUUCCGGCUCGAAGGA
rnacentral:tRNA from 1 species